GACGAACGCUGGCGGCGUGCUUAACACAUGCAAGUCGAACGGAAAGGCCCUGCUUUUGUGGGGUGCUCGAGUGGCGAACGGGUGAGUAACACGUGAGUAACCUGCCCUUGACUUUUGGAUAACUUCAGGAAACUGGGGCUAAUACCUGAUAGGAGCUCCUGCUGCAUGGUGGGGGUUGGAAAGUUUCGGCGGUUGGGGAUGGACUCGCGGCUUAUCAGCUUGUUGGUGGGGUAGUGGCUUACCAAGGCUUUGACGGGUAGCCGGCCUGAGAGGGUGACCGGCAACAUUGGGACUGAGAUACGGCCCAGACUCAUACGGGAGGCAGCAGUGGGGAAUAUUGCACAAUGGGCGGAAGCCUGAUGCAGCAACGCCGCGUGCGGGAUGACGGCCUUCGGGUUGUAAACCGCUUUCGCCUGUGACGAAGCGUGAGUGACGGUAAUGGGUAAAGAAGCACCGGCUAACUACGUG
rnacentral:rRNA from 1 species